rnacentral:rRNA from 1 species
GAUGAACGCUGGCGGCGUGCCUAAUACAUGCAAGUCGAGCGAACAGACGAGGAGCUUGCUCCUCUGACGAUAGCGGCGGACGGGUGAGUAACACGUGGAUAACCUACCUAUAAGACUGGGAUAACUUCGGGAAACCGGAGCUAAUACCGGAUAAUAUAUUGAACCGCAUGGUUCAAUAGUGAAAGACGGUUUUGCUGUCACUUAUAGAUGGAUCCGCGCCGCAUUAGCUAGUUGGUAAGGUAACGGCUUACCAAGGCAACGAUGCGUAGCCGACCUGAGAGGGUGAUCGGCCACACUGGAACUGAGACACGGUCCAGACUCUUACGGGAGGCAGCAGUAGGGAAUCUUCCGCAAUGGGCGAAAGCCUGACGGAGCAACGCCGCGUGAGUGAUGAAGGUCUUCGGAUCGUAAAACUCUGUUAUUAGGGAAGAACAAAUGUGUAAGUAACUAUGCACGUCUUGACGGUACCUAAUCAGAAAGCCACGGCUAACUACGUG